UUAAGGUUUAUUUGAUGAAAAAAAUGAUAUUGAGGGCAAAAACCUGUUCCAAGUUACUCCUAACAAGCACAAGACUUUUAAAGAAAUAGCAUCUGUUGAAAACUCUCCUCGGUCUUCCAAGAAAUCUCCUACAAAAGUAGUAACACCUAGGAGAAAUGAAAGUUCAGUUCGUCAAAAAACUAAAGCUGGAACACCAAAAACAGGAACUCCUUCAUCUCAACGAAAGUGCUCUGCUAAAAUAGAAAAUACUGUUGAAAAUAAGAGUUCUGCUCGCUUAAAACUAAAACAAGAGCUUGCAAACCUUAAAAUUGCACAAGUGGAUUCUGAUCCUGAAGACAGUGAUGAAUUAUCUGAUUAUGAGGAUGUUGCUUCUAAUGGUGAAACAACAGAUGAUGAAAACCUGUCAAACAAUGAUGUAAUCAAUAAGGAAAAUGGAGAGUUGAGUAAGCGUAGAAAAGAGAAACUUUGCAAUGUAAUUUUUUUUAUUUAUC